rnacentral:rRNA from 1 species
GACGAACGCUGGCGGCGUGCUUAACACAUGCAAGUCGAACGGAAAGGCCUUGCUUUUGUGGGGUGCUCGAGUGGCGAACGGGUGAGUAACACGUGAGUAACCUGCCCUUGACUUUGGGAUAACUUCAGGAAACUGGGGCUAAUACCGGAUAGGAGCUCCUGCUGCAUGGUGGGGGUUGGAAAGUUUCGGCGGUUGGGGAUGGACUCGCGGCUUAUCAGCUUGUUGGUGGGGUAGUGGCUUACCAAGGCUUUGACGGGUAGCCGGCCUGGGAGGGUGACCGGCCACAUUGGGACUGAGAUACGGCCCAGACUCCUACGGGAGGCAGCAGUGGGGAAUAUUGCACAAUGGGCGGAAGCCUGAUGCAGCAACGCCGCGUGCGGGAUGACGGCCUUCGGGUUGUAAACCGCUUUCGCCUGUGACGAAGCGUGAGUGACGGUAAUGGGUAAAGAAGCACCGGCUAACUACGUG